rnacentral:rRNA from 1 species
CUGCUGCCUUCCGUAGGAGUCUGGUCCGUGUCUCAGUACCAGUGUGGGGGACCUUCCUCUCAGAACCCCUACGCAUCGUCGGUUAGGUGGGCCGUUACCCCGCCUACUGCCUAAUGCGCCGCAUGCCCAUCCCUGUCCGGCCGAAGCCUUUCCUGCCUCCGGGAUGCCCCGGUGGCAUGUACGCGGGUUUAGCCCGCCUUUCGGCGGUUGUCCCCCUGACAGGGGCAGGUUGCAUACGUGUUACUCACCGUGCGCCGGUCGCCGGCGGAGAAGA